GCCAGUUUGGCUCAGUAGGUAGAGCAUUAGUCUGCAGACUAAAGGGUCUCAGGUUCGAUUCCGGUCAAGGGCA
rnacentral:tRNA from 1 species